AGGUGGAUUAGUGGCGCACGGGUGAGUAACGCAUAGGUAAUAUGCCCCAUAGUCUGGGAUAGCCACUGGAAACGGUGAUUAAUACUAGAUACUCCCUACGGGGGAAAGAAUUUCGCUAUGGGAUUAGCCUAUGUCCUAUCAGCUUGUUGGUGAGGUAAUGGCUCACCAAGGCUAUGACGGGUAUCCGGCCUGAGAGGGUGAACGGACACACUGGAACUGAGACACGGUCCAGACUCCUACGGGAGGCAGCAGUAGGGAAUAUUGCUCAAUGGGGGAAACCCUGAAGCAGCAACGCCGCGUGGAGGAUGAAGGUUUUAGGAUUGUAAACUCCUUUUGUUAGAGAAGAUU
rnacentral:rRNA from 1 species